rnacentral:rRNA from 1 species
AUGACGCUGUCGUCUGUGUUACCGAGAUCCACUAACAUCCGCUUCAAUGCCAAGGCAAUCAACCCCGAAACUGAAGCACUACUCCGAUGGAAGUCCACUUUGAUUGGUGCCAACCCGUUGCCCUCGUGGUCAAUUGCCAACUCUACGUGCUCUUGGUCUGGCAUCACCUGUGAUGCUGCCGGACAUGUUACCAAGCUCCACCUUUCCGGCUUUGGGAUCCAUGGUACGCUACACACCUUCUACUCUGCUGCAUACCAGAAUCUCAUCAAGAUCAAACUCAACAGCAACAAUCUUGUUGGCACCAUUCCAGCAAACAUAUCCCUGUUGCUCACGCUCACCAUUUUGGACUUGAGCAGCAACAAUCUUGUCGGUGCCAUCUCCUACCAACUCGGCAAGCUACCAAUACUAGUCGAGGUUAAUCUGGGAAAUAACCAAUUGACUAACCCAGAAUAUGACAAGUUCUCGCCUAUGUUCAGCUUGAAGUUAUUAUCUCUAGCUAACAAUAAUCUCUGUGGAACCUUCCCACAAUUCAUCCUCAACUACACCAUUGUGAGGAUGCAAUUCCUUGAUUUGUCAGGUAAUGACUUCUCAGGGCUGUUACCAGAUUCACUACCGGAAAUGGUCCCAAGGUUGAGGUAUCUAGAUCUGUCAGCUAAUGGAUUCUCUAGUGUGAUGCCUCGCUCACUCUCGAGGCUCCAGAAGCUUGAGAUACUGCUUCUCAACGAAAAUAAUCUUACAGGAGGGAUCCCAGAGGAGCUUGGGUUAGUACCUGGAUUGCGAGUUCUUUCACUGAGCGACAAUUCACUUGGUGGGUUCAUCCCAGCCUCACUUGGGCAGCUUCAGUUACUAGAGCAACUCAAUAUCAGAAAUGCUGGUUUGGUUUCUACUCUUCCACCCGAGUUGGGGAACCUUACUAAUCUCGGGCACUUGGAUCUGGCGCAUAACCAGCUAUUUGGAAGUUUGCCACCAUCUUUGGCCAGGAUUCAAGGAAUGUCCUGGUUCAUUGUACAUGACAACUAUAUCGAUGGUACCAUCCCACCAGAGAUGUUUUCAAACUUGACUAAUCUCGCGGUAUUCGAUGUUGCCAAAAACUUGUUAGCUGGAAGCAUCCCAUCGCAGAUUGGUAACUGUAAAGAGAUAAUCACUCUCCUCCUCUCAAACAACAACUUUACUGGUUCCAUCCCAGUAGAGAUGGGCAGCUUGCCGAACUUGCAGUUUUUGGUCAUGUCAAAGAAUCACUUUACUGGAGUGAUACCAUCUCAUAUCGGCAAUGCAACAUCUUUGAAAUUCCUUGCCAUCAGAUCCAACCACCUUGAUGGAGAGCUUCCUGCAACCAUGUCCGCGUUGAUAAAUCUUGUUGCUCUCAUCUUGUCUGGCAACAAGUUUACGGGUAUCAUUCCUAAUAUUGACGACAGGCAGUUGCCGUCUGUCAAGGUGGUAAAAGAUAAAAACACAAACAGCUUCAUGGGAGAAUUGCCAUCGGCCUUUUGUCAGUUGGCACUUUUGCAACUCUUGGAUCUAUCAAACAAUCAGUUGUCUGGUAAGCUUCCUGGUUGCUUUUGGUACUUGAAAGAUUUGCAAUCCUUAGAUUUAUCGAGCAAUGCUUUUGCUGGUGAAAUUCCAACCUCAAGUUACUGUAAUUCUUCACUAAGGUCCCUGCACCUGUCAGACAACAACUUUACAGGUUGCUUUCCAGGUGUGUUGAAGAACUUCAGACGCCUUGUUAUUUUGGAUCUCGGGAACAAUAAUAUUUCUGGUGUAAUUCCUCCAUGGAUAGGGCAAAGCAAUCCUUUGUUGAGGAUUCUCGGACUGCGAUCGAACAUGUUCUAUGGAAAUAUUCCCUAG